GCUCCCCCUUUAUAACUGCUGCUCACUCCAGGGACAUUAACCCAGUGACGUGUGAUGAGGUCAACAACAGGGAGUACCAGUGAAUAAAAGAUGAAGAAAAACAGUCUUCAUAGACAAUCAGUGGGGCAGAGACAUGCAGACGAGACGAGAAGUCAGUGAGAUCAAGGGGUCUGUGUGCACCUUACACACUCCAGGCCCUACAGUGAGCCAGUGAGCCUCACCCCACAUCCUGCUUGUUCCACCCUUCCUGGCUCUGACCAGCAUCUCAAUCCUCUGAUCUAAAAACUCAAAAUAUGUCAACUUAUUUUAGGCUACUGUCUCAAACUGCAAGAAAAAUGUACUGAAAAUACUAAAAGAUGAAAAGUAGAAAAAACAAACAUAUUCUCAUUAUGAAACUAAGCAUAAAGCAGGCUGAAAUGAUGGUGAGGGGGAUGUGAUAUGUUUACCCCCCACCCUCUUCUUGCCUUAGUCUUCAUUCUUCACCCAUGUUCUGUGAAGCCGUUUCAGUAGUGGAUCAGUCUUGAAAAGGGUUUAAUGUGAAAGUCUAUGCUGUGUAUUGUAUUUAGC